GGAAAAUCAAGCUAUUUAAAUGUCUAAAUAACUAUUCCAAGCUAUCAAAAAAAAUGUUGUCUUUAUUUUUUUUAUUGUUCCCCUCUCAUUCAGUCCCAAAUCCUUUUCAUUUCAAAACAAAUAAAUCGAAAUAUUAAAUUGCUUCAUAAGACUAUCUAUUUUAUGUCCAAUGAGAGAAAAAAAAUUUAGUUACCGUUUCGCUUCCUCUUCUCCACAGGCAUUGUCAGAAAAUCUGAAUUUAUAUCCGAAAAAACACUCGGCACAACUCUGUCUACGUCAACAAAGGUAAAUUCAAUGUCAAUGUCGCCUACAAAUAUAAAAAGUCAGAACUUCUUUUUUCACAAAAAUUUAAAGAAAGAAAGAGUGAUAAACCGUUAGCAUCCCCUAUUUCAUUUCUUCUUGGUUGGGUUAAUUGGAUUUGAGAUCACUAGAAUCAGUAGACGUAGACAUUUUUUUGUUUUUAAUUUUUACAAAAUCACUGAAAACUCAAAAAAAUUAAUUGUCGAAAAAAUAUAUAGAAAUGUAGCAAUGUGAAAAACUAACAUGUACAAAUCGAAAGUCCACGGGUUUAAAAAAAACGUACCUUCUUCUUUAAAAAAAACCUUCUUUCUCAGACUUCUGUAAACCACUAAACCCAAUACCCACCCUGGUUCGUUCAAAACAGAGUUCAAUAGAACCCAACAAUCGUUCAAAACAUAGUACACUUUGAAGAGUCGAGAAGAACGGUUUAAAUAAAAAAAACCUUCAUACCUUACUCGACAGACGCGACUGCUCGAUCCCUUCAGAAGUUCCGCUAGGGUUUCUCGGAAAGUUUCGUCGAGAGUGAUGGGUGUGAAAUGAGAGAGUUUUGGGUGUUAGUAAAUAUAUAUGUUAAUGUUAGGAAAGUUAGAUUAUUUGAUAGAUAAAUGGAGUGUAGGAAGUAACUCGUAAACCUAUUCUUCCAUUUCUCCUACUCUAUAUCUCUAGCUCGUAAC
rnacentral:lncRNA from 1 species